GCCAGGUGUGGUGGCUCACACCUGUAAUCCCAGCUACUUAGGAUGCUGAGGUGGGAGAAUUACUUGAGUCCAGGAGUUGAUUCCAGCCUGGGCAACACAGUGAGAAUCCAUCUCUU
rfam:Pan troglodytes isolate Yerkes chimp pedigree #C0471 (Clint) chromosome 14, whole genome shotgun sequence.